CCAAAAGAUCGAAUGGGGAGAUUCAUCGUCAGCACAUUUUGUAUAUGUAGAAGUUAUGAUAUGGGUUACUCUUGUAGUAUUGCCUAUACAUAUUUUUACAUUUAGUUGCAAAAUGUUGUCGGCGUGCACUUCUCCCCUAGUAGGACAUCGCAACUCGUUGGGUGUUGGUCUACGACCAAAGUUGGAGACUUUAAUAUAUUAAAAAAUAUUAAAGACACUUUGUGUUAUCUGACCAUCUGCUCGGCGAUAUUCUUAUGGUAUUAAGCCGCAUUUUAUAUGCGUCUAUAUCCGUCACAAGCGAGGCUAGUUUUUAAUAGUACGGACUUAGUGCCGUCGUUAAAUCUGGCCAGCUGUUGGUUGUUACGGUAUUCUAGGACUGGCUAAAAAAAAUUUUUUUACCGGUUAGCGAUGCUACUGCUUUGGGUACUUUCAGGACCCGUCUUGAAACACGGACCAAGGAGUCUAACAUGUACGCAAGUCAUUGGGAUUUUUUUUUUUUAAAUUAAACCUAAAGGGCUAAUGAAAGUAAAGGUCGUCCUAGUGACGAUCAAGGGAGGAUG
rnacentral:rRNA from 1 species